rnacentral:rRNA from 1 species
GACAGAGGGUGCAAACGUUGUUCGGAUUUACUGGGCGUAAAGCGUGUGUAGGCGGCUUCGCAAGUUGGAUGUGAAAUCCCACGGCUCAACCGUGGACGUGCAUCCAAAACUGCGUCGCUAGAGUCUCGGAGAGGAAGGUGGAAUGCUUGGUGUAGAGGUGAAAUUCGUAGAUAUCAAGCAGAACACCGGUGGCGAAGGCGGCAUCCUGGACCGGUAUUGACGCUGAGGCGCGAAAGCUAGGGGAGCAAACGGG